GUGUAUUCAUACAACAAACCAGGAUCAUUGUAUUCAGAUUCUUCACUUACAAAGGAUUAUUGCUUUUAUCAAGGAUAUGCUGCAGAGGUUUUAAAAUCAGCUGUGAUGUUAAGCAUCUGUUCUGGACUCAGAGGAUUAUUGCACUUUGAAAAUAUCAGUUAUGGAAUUGAACCUUUGGAAUCUACAGCUACAAAUGAG